UACAGAGGUCUCAAGCGUUGUUCGGAUUCAUUGGGCGUAAAGGGUGCGUAGGCGGCGCGGUAAGUCGGGUGUGAAAUCUCGGAGCUUAACUCCGAAACUGCAUUCGAUACUGCCGUGCUUGAGGACUGGAGAGGAGACUGGAAUUUACGGUGUAGCGGUGAAAUGCGUAGAUAUCGUAAGGAACAUCAGUGGCGAAAGCGCUCUGCUGGACUGCAACUGACACUCAGGGACGAAAGCUAGGGGAGCGAAUGGG
rnacentral:rRNA from 1 species